rnacentral:rRNA from 1 species
UACGGAGGGGGCUAGCGUUGUUCGGAAUUACUGGGCAUAAAGCGCACGUAGGCGGCUUUGUAAGUUAGAGGUGAAAGCCCAGGGCUUAACCCUGGAAUUGCCUUUAAGACUGCAUCGCUAGAAUCGUGGAGAGGUAAGUGGAAUUCCGAGUGUAGAGGUGAAAUUCGUAGAUAUUCGGAAGAACACCAGUGGCGAAGGCGACUUACUGGACACGUAUUGACGCUGAGGUGCGAAAGCGUGGGGAGCAAACAGG